CCUACGGGUGGCACCAGUGGGGAAUAUUGGACAAUGGGGGGAACCCUGAUCCAGCCAUGCCGCGUGUGUGAAGAAGGCCUUUUGGUUGUAAAGCACUUUAAGUGGGGAGGAGGCUUACCUGGUUAAUACCUGGGCUAAGUGGACGUUACCCACAGAAUAAGCACCGGCUAACUCUGUGCCAGCAGCCGCGGUAAUACAGAGGGUGCGAGCGUUAAUCGGAUUUACUGGGCGUAAAGCGCGCGUAGGUGGUUAAUUAAGUCAAAUGUGAAAUCCCCGAGCUUAACUUGGGAAUUGCAUUCGAUACUGGUUAGCUAGAGUAUGGGAGAGGAUGGUAGAAUUCCAGGUGUAGCGGUGAAAUGCGUAGAGAUCUGGAGGAAUACCGAUGGCGAAGGCAGCCAUCUGGCCUAAUACUGACACUGAGGUGCGAAAGCAUGGGGAGCAAACAGGAUUAGAUACCCUUGUAGUC
rnacentral:rRNA from 1 species